UACGGAGGGGGCUAGCGUUGUUCGGAAUUAUUGGGCGUAAAGCGCACGUAGGCGGUUCGUUAAGUCGGAUGUGAAAGCCCUCGGCUCAACUGAGGAAGUGCACCCGAAACUGGCGAGCUUGAGUACGAAAGAGGAUCGCGGAAUUCCCGGUGUAGAGGUGAAAUUCGUAGAUAUCGGGAGGAACACCGGUGGCGAAGGCGGCGAUCUGGGUCGAUACUGACGCUGAGGUGCGAAAGCGUGGGGAGCGAACAGG
rnacentral:rRNA from 1 species